AUCUUGGGAGAUAUCCUUCAAAUCACAAGGGAGAUUACAGAUGAACACAUUUACGGGUUUUGCUCUCAAGAGUAGAUUUUACUGAGUGCAAAGCAGGAGGCUGCCACAACUGUAAAGGUAUUACCUGUGCCUUUCAAAGCUACACAGGUGUCCCUUGGUAUUUAUUUUAUUGAAAAAAAAAUGUGCUAGAGUAUUCAGAUGAGUGUCAGAAAAAUAAUUUGUAGAGAGUCAUGUUUAUGAAUUGUUCAGUGAUAGAGUAAUAUAUUUUUAAAAUGUUACAAGUAUGCCUAAAAAGUCUUCUCUGUAAAAGUAAAAUUUAUUCAUAUUAUCAUAAAACAACUAUUUAUUUUUAGCCCAAUAUGUGCAAAGCAAUGUAUUAGAGCCAAAGAAUAAAAUUAUCAAAUCUGUUUUUUUAACUGCAUCAAAUAUAUCAAGUAUAUACAUAUCUGUAUAUGUAUUAGCUAGAGAUUUUUUUUUUUAACCACGGGGGAAAAACAAACAAACAAACAAAAACAGCAUAGCAUCUAGUCUCACGACUUUAGGUGGUCAUAGUUCCCAAAUUCAUAUUCACAGGCCAGGCAUUGGCGCUGAAAUCGAGAUAGUCUACUUGGCAUUUCCACUCAAAUAUCUAAUGGGGAUCACAAACCCAAUGUUUCUAAAAUAAACUGUGAUUUUAUCAACUAAAACUUGCUCUUCUUCCCUGCCUUUAUAUUCCAGUAAAUGCUUCUAUGUGUUUAUUUCAUUUCUUGCCCCUCAUAUUCUACAACCAACAGUUAGAUAACCCUAGCUACCUCGCACAUACAUCUUUUUUUUUUUUUUUUUUGAGACUGAGUCUCACUCUGUCACCCAGGCUGGAAUGCAGUGGUGCCAAUUUCGGCUCACUGCAACCUCCACCUCCCAGGUUCAAGCGAUUCUCCAGCCUAAGCCUCCUGAGUAGCUGGGACUACAGGCUCGCCACAAUAUCUGGCUAAUUUUUGUGGAGAGUCAUGGCUACAUGCUACAGGAGGGCCACCAUAUCCGGCUAAUUUUAGUAGAGACAGGGUUUCACCAUCUUGGCCAGGCUGGUCUCAAACUCCUGACCUCAUGAUCCACCCGCCUGGGCCUCCCAAAGUGCUGGGAUUACAGGUGUAACCCCAGCCUCUCUCACAUACAUCUCUAAUUUAUCCAUGUAUUUCCUUCUCCACUGCUUCCAUCUGACCAAAAACAUCAUCUUUUACUUGGACUAUUGUAAUUUCCUUACUGAUCUCUUAUUUUCCAUCCUUGCAUCUACCUCUCAAAAUAUUUUAAACUCACAGAAGAGCCACGAUGAUCUUAUUAAAAUGUAUAUUUUUUAAAAAGGUCAAAAUAUAAACCAAAUCAUGUCACUGUGUUAAAUCCUUCAGUGGUUUCUAAUUGCAUAUUGAACAAAAUUCAAAUAUUUUAUUGUGAGUGCAAAUACCUGGAUUACCUGUUAUCUUCCCAUUUCUUUUACUGCAGCUCCUUUUCCUCUCCCCCAAAGCACUGAUAGCUAAUUCUAGUGAAUUUUCUUUGACUAUGCCAUCACUUGUAAAGCCUUUGUACUUAUUCCUUUAAAUUCCUCUCCCAGCACAUGUGUCCGAUAAUGGCCCUCCUUGGUUAUUUGUUAUAGAAUUUACACCAAUCUGUAAUUAUCUCCUUUAUUAUUUCUUUAUUUCUCCUAUGUCUUUUUAUUAGAUUGCAGGAUCCAGGAAGGCAGGAACCUGGCUGCCUUUAUUACUACUGGAAGCACAUAGAAUAGGACCAGACAAAAACGACAAAGUGAGAAGAUGGCUGCCUGCAAGCCAGGAAGAGGGUCCUCACCAGGAAACAAAUUUUGGAGUUGAACAAGCCUCCAGAAUUGGACUUCAGCUUCUGUACUGAAUCCGAGGACCUCAACCUCUGUACUGAAUCAACCUCUGUACCGAAUCUACUUAUGCUUGCAGCUCCUGUCAUUCCAGUUGAAGACAGACCACAUGACAUUCUACAGAUGGCUGCAUAAAAAGGAACUAACAAAUGAUCCCUUUUAGAAGAGUGAAGGCCUCCUGGCAAUGUUCUCUUUAACCCAUGAUGUGAGUUAAGAGGAAUCAACCAAUGUUUUGUUUUUGACUGAUUAUGAGGCAACGUACAUACCAUUAAAG
rnacentral:lncRNA from 10 species